rnacentral:rRNA from 1 species
UACAGAGGGGGCAAGCGUUAUUCGGAAUUAUUGGGCGUAAAGGGCGCGUAGGCGGCUUGGCAAGUGGAUGGUGAAAUCCCUCGGCUUAACCGAGGAACGGCCGUCCAAACUGCUUCGCUUGAGACCGGGAGAGGUGAGUGGAAUUCCCGGUGUAGCGGUGAAAUGCGUAGAUAUCUGGAGGAACACCGGUGGCGAAGGCGGCAUCCUGGACCGGUAUUGACGCUGAGGCGCGAAAGCUAGGGGAGCAAACGGG